ACGUAGGGUGCAAGCGUUGUCCGGAAUUAUUGGGCGUAAAGAGCUCGUAGGCGGUCUGUCGCGUCGGCUGUGAAAACUCGGGGCUCAACCCCGAGCCUGCAGUCGAUACGGGCAGACUAGAGUGCUGUAGGGGAGACUGGAAUUCCUGGUGUAGCGGUGAAAUGCGCAGAUAUCAGGAAGAACACCAAUGGCGAAAGCAGCUCUCUGGGACGGUACUGACGCUGAGACGCGAAAGCGUGGGGAGCGAACAGG
rnacentral:rRNA from 1 species